rnacentral:rRNA from 1 species
CUUUGGUCUUAUUUUGUUGGUUUCUAGGACCGAAGUAAUGAUUAACAGGGACAGUUGGGGGCAUUCGUAUUUAAUUGUCAGAGGUGAAAUUCUUGGAUUUAUGAAAGACGAACUUCUGCGAAAGCAUUUGCCAAGGAUGUUUUCAUUAAUCAAGAACGAAAGUUAGGGGAUCGAAGACGAUUAGAUACCGUCGUAGUCCUAACCAUAAACUAUGCCAACUAGGGAUCAGUGGGGGAAUUUCUACACCCCAUUGGCACCUUAUGAGAAAUCAAAGUUUUUGGGUUCUGGGGAAAGUACCAACGCAAGUUGGAAACUUAAAGGAAUUGACGGAAGGGCACACCAGGCGUGGAAUCUGCGGCUUAAUUUGACUCAACACGGGGAAACUCACCAGGUCCAGA